rnacentral:rRNA from 1 species
UACGGGGGGAGCAAGCGUUGUUCGGAUUUACUGGGCGUAAAGGGCGCGUAGGCGGCUUGACAAGUCACUUGUGAAAUCUCUGGGCUUAACCCAGAACGGCCAAGUGAAACUGUCGAGCUAGAGUGUAGAAGGGGCAAUCGGAAUUCUUGGUGUAGCGGUGAAAUGCGUAGAUAUCAAGAGGAACACCUGAGGUGAAGACGGGUUGCUGGUCUAACACUGACGCUGAGGCGCGAAAGCCAGGGGAGCAAACGGG